UUUCGUUUUGCAUUAGAUCUUUAUUUAAUUCUUUUGCGCUUUUCUCGUUUCUAGGCCAAGUUUUUCGCCAAGUUCCACUUUUAGACUUAAAACGUUGUUCUCUGGUAAUAAUUAAUAUGCAUAACGUUACUUACAGUUUCGCUUAACUUAGUAUAAUAAUAAUUAAUUCAUACAAUACAAUAAUUAAUCAUAAUAAGGUGUAAACUACCCUCGUUCAAAUGCCCGUUGUUGUUGGUAUCGGUAUCGGUAUCGUAUUGGUUGUCUAUAUAGUUCUGUGCUGCGUUCUUUCGUUACGUUUUUAUUAGUUUUUAUAAAAUAUCACAUUUUAAGCUUUUUGUUUGUGGGAAAACCAAAGUUUCGAACGAAAAAUUCACCGGCAAAGCAAAAUCGGGCGUUGGCAGAAGCAAAGCAAAUCUAGCGAGACCCAAAGAACGCCAGCACUCUUUAUCGAAAUCGAAAUCGAAAUGAUGAUCGGUCUUGGGAUCGGGAUCAUUAUCCAUCCCCAUAUUCGUUAUACAUAUACUUGGUUGUGGUGCUAAAACUUUGCUUUAUUUUACGAUUUAUCCAAUAUCUAAUGCGCCUUUCUGCGGUAAUUCGCGUUUAAUAUUUUAUGUAGACAUUUAAAAGUCUGCAAAGUGCAGCUUGGGAAUUUAAAAUUGUAAUUUCUUCUUGUAAUUCGUAUAUGCAUGUCUGUCUGCGUGUGUUUUGUUUUUCCUCUGUUACUGUGUGCGUGGUGGAAAGUGCUCCCGCGUUGGGCGCCACUUUCUACAAUCGGAUUUUCCAUUGUUGCUACAACUUGAUUCUAGAAUUUCCCCUAUAGUGCUUCGCCUCCUCAUCUUCGUUUGCUUCUAAUUGUGGACUGGAAAUAGACAGGACUACGAAAGUGCUCGGAAAGUUAUCAAAAAAGGCCAGCUCGAAUGAAGACAACAAACUCAACUUUUGGAUAUGCUCAAAAAUUACUCCAUUUUAAGUCACCGGAUGAAACGCCUAUUUGUCCACGGUGUUCGACUUACAAAGUACAAAACACACAGCAUACUUUCGGACACCUUUUUUACAGGUUUCAAAUGGACUUAGAAUGAUAUUCCAUAAUUAAACGAAAUACUUGGGAGUUUCUAUCAUGGCUUCCCUAGUCCGCUGAUUUAAGGAACUCAUUUCUGGACGAUGCCUGAGGUCUUGCAGUUGGCAUUUUAAGAGCUAUUUUCCCUCACUGUGAAAGUUGAGUCGGUGAAAAUGGACUUUUGUUUGGCUGGGGAAAGUUUUCGAAAUGGAAAUGAAAUUCUUACAAUGUUUCUCUAUAGCUGCGCCUGCUGUGUGGAUGUGGAUGUGUGGAGGUGUACAUUUACCAUUUAUCAUUAGUAUACACAUAGGUAUGUAUGGGCUUAUAUAUGCAUUUGCUUAAGACACAUUUUUCAAUAAGUAAGUGGAACAACUCGCCAACUGUUUCGGUUUCAACUACAUGCACAUAAAUUACAGAUUUACUUUUGUUGGGGUUUUAAAUGCUUUUCCAUCGAUUCGGGUUUCUUUACGCAUUGAAAAAGUUGACAGGCAUUGACAUAUAUAUUUUAAUUUUGUUUUCAUCCAUUUCUUGGCUUUUGUUUUUGCCCUUUCUUUUAUGGGUUGUGCGUCAAUUAAAUUGUUUAUGUGUCCAAAUUUAUUUACAAUUCGUUUAACACUCAGAGCUUAGGUUACCAAAAAAAAACACGUUUUAUUAAAUAUUCCUUUUUUAUUAAUAUUAAUAUUCGUAUAGUUAUAAUCCACAAUCUUUACUCUAUGUACAAGCAUUGCUAGGUUAUAAAUAAUAAAAAAAAUCGUAUAUAUUUAGAUUUAUAUAUAAUUAAUGAUCAUGUUUGCUUUACGCGCAGACAACAUGGUGGUGCAAUCUUCUAGAUCUAUUCUCCACGUUCAUCCACAAAAAAAUUAUCGCGCUCACGUAUUUCUAGUCGGAUGCAAUAAAAAAAAAUUGGCUUUAACAUAGUUCGUAUGUACAUGAAUAAAUAUAUAUAUAUCUUUAUAUAUAUGUAUGUGGUUGUGUGUGCUUGUGUUUGCGUGUGGUGAGUGCGGUUACAUAUAUUCUAUAUGGAUAUAUGCCUAACAUACAGUUAAUUAGCGGUGCCAGAUCUGCCAGAUGGUUAAUAAUACAUAUAUUUUGAAUAUAUAUAUUUAUCAAUUCUGUGCUUAGUAACGAUUAGUUUAAAAUGUUCAUCGGCCGCCAGGAAAAAAAACGUCGGUAUACAUCUAUUCAACAUGCGCAACUCGUUCGUCGGAUAUCGAUUAUCGCCUAUCGCUUAUCGCCAAUCGCUAUAAUCGUUUACUUUCUGCAUUCCAGGGGGUUUCUCCUUCUUUCUCUUCAUAUAUGUGCUAAUUCUCUUUGCUUCAAACUCUUUUCCUAUUUCAUGCAUUUCUCUUUUAGUUACUUUGUUGUAGGUACCUUGCGUUUCGCUUUAAAGUGAUUCCGAGUCCGUAUCCUCUUCCGCUCCCCCUUUUGCAUAUUCGUAUCCCCUCUC
rnacentral:sRNA from 1 species